CCUACGGGAGGCAGCAGUCGAGAAUCAUUCACAAUGGGGGAAACCCUGAUGGUGCGACGCCGCGUGGGGGAAUGAAGGUCUUCGGAUUGUAAACCCCUGUCAUGUGGGAGCAAAUUAAAAAGAUAGUACCACAAGAGGAAGAGACGGCUAACUCUGUGCCAGCAGCCGCGGUAAUACAGAGGUCUCAAGCGUUGUUCGGAAUCACUGGGCGUAAAGCGUGCGUAGGCUGUUUCGUAAGUCGUGUGUGAAAGGCGCGGGCUCAACCCGCGGACGGCACAUGAUACUGCGAGACUAGAGUAAUGGAGGGGGAACCGGAAUUCUCGGUGUAGCAGUGAAAUGCGGAGAUAGCGAGAGGAACACUCGUGGCGAAGGCGGGUUCCUGGACAUUAACUGACGCUGAGGCACGAAGGCCAGGGGAGCGAAAGGGAUUAGAUACCCCAGUAGUC
rnacentral:rRNA from 1 species